rnacentral:rRNA from 1 species
UUGGACCUGAUAUCAGGCAUAGAUGCCGUCC